ensembl:lncRNA
AAAGAAUCUAUAUCUUUUCUAGAUAGGUCUACAGUACUUUGGUCAGUGCUAUCUGGGAUCCUUGGGACGUCCCUACCCUAAACCCUAAACCCUAACCUUAGCCCCUACCCUAAUCCUAACCAUAACCCUUACCUAACCCUAAUUUUAAAGCUAACCUUAACCAUUUUAAAUGUAUACUUCAAUGGGGUAAGGACGUACCAAGGAUCCCGGAUAUUUUUUUCUCUCCAUUGCGGCAAAUUAAUCUUGAUUAGCGCCACCUAGCUGCCAGUGACUGACAGCGGCACUGCUAAUGCUGCUGAUGCACUGGCACAGUGCAGCAGUUACCAGAAACAGCUCCCUGGCAAGUAAUGUCGAAUUCCAGCCUCCUCUGGUGGAGUUAAGACCUGCCAUGGUGAACUGACAGUAAGAGAGGAGCUGAAAGAAACCAGCCAGCACUACUCUGCCCUGGGUGAGAGGUUUGAUUUGGGCCGGGGGAAUUGGUGGCCCAGCAGGUCUGCCUGGUCUGCUUGCCUGCCUGCGUAUCCAUCGAUGGAAGUGUCUCUCACCUCUGGCCAGCUAGCGGUUCCUCCUGCCUCCUCCUUUUCGACCUACCGACCGUCAGUCCGCUGAAUGGUAAUUCCCCCUGAUAACCUUGUGGGAGCUGGGAAGGCGGUGUAGGGAGAGAAGGGGGAGAGGGGAGGAAGAGCGAGAAAGGCUCCCGCUCCGUUGCUCUGAGCUUGGUGAGGUGAUCGGUGUGUGGACAGGAGCCAGGCCAAUCUAGCCAUCAAGUGGGCCGUCAGCCGCCCAGCCAACGGGAGACACACUGCUAAUGCACGGCAUCGGUCACCAAGCUGCUGAAACAGCCAUGGGUUGUAAUUCUAUCUCAGAGCAGUGGCCAGGGCAGGGGGCACAGAGGGCAGGGAGCAAAGAGUGGAGAGGCCUCUGGACAGGGGUAUUGGACUGGAAGGAGAGUCAGUGAUUUUGCCUCUUUGCUGCCAUUUUGGUCAAUACAAUCGCAAGAGCCUAAAAAAUGAAAUGCCCCACCAAUAUUUCAGUCUGUUUUUUAAAACUAAAUCAAGGUAAAAUAAUACAAAACACGAGAUCAGUAUUCCAGGUUUAAACAGUGUAUUUUUUUACACUAUUUAUGGAGGUUAAUAUUUCAAAUAUGAAAAGACACGCAUUUGUCAGUGAGUAAAAAGAACAAUGCAAAGAACAUCUGGAGACGUUGAAACAAACAGCAUGUCUGGAGUCCAGCGACUGAAUUAGCCUUCUCUCUAAUAUCACUAGAAACAAAUCUGGUGAGUUGGUUGUUGAUUCAUGAAUAUGGAAUGGAAAUCAUUACAAAAGUAUGUCAGAAGACAAAGUCCUACAAAUAAACAAACUUUGGGCUUUUUGUUUUGAUGAUUGUAACUCAUUCCCAGGGCUCUAGGUUCAUGCCCACCAGCCGCACACAACAUUAUUGUUGAAGAGGGAAACACUUAAGAGCCAUUGUUUUCUUUGUGUUGGAGUUUUUGAUGCCUGGCUGGGGAGGAAUGUGUUCAGAAAGUAGCUUUCCCCCCCUUCUGCUACACAUCUCUAGUCAUUAGGUUUAGAGUUUUCCGUAAACUUUAACUGUCAAUUCACUAUAAUAGGAAAUUAAAAGAGCUUUGUAAUGUAAGAGGUUGUGUUGUUUGAAUUAUUAAUGUGUUACAUUGAAAAAGUCUCCAUUUCAUAGAAAUGUGAUAGAAACAGUCAUAUUUGUAAAAUGUAUACCGUAAUAUAAAGUAAAGCAUUUUAAAACCUCCAAAAUAUAAUUGAAUCACUCGAUCAGUCAAAUGUGUCAUUCUUGCUAUAGAAGCGUCCAAAACCGACCUAAUGAGUUCCUAGGAAACCUAACUCUUUCCUCCGUGCUGUAUUUCAAACGUUAACCCCCAAGAGUCCUUUAUUGCAUCCAAGGUAGUACAUGUACUUGAUCUUCAUUUGACCACACAACAAAGAGUCAAGUAUGUGUUGCUGUGUGUUCGGUCAGUCAUUCUCCCCGGGCCUCUCCCAGAGUAUUGGCUUCCGUGGAGCUUUUGGCGUCAGCGGUGGGAUCAGUUAUUCCCAGUCUCACCUACAACACGGUGUGUACAUUGUUGUCUGGCGGUUAUUGGCAGCUCUGCCUUCAUCCUCCGACACCGGCGGUCUCCCUGGUGGCCUUUGUCACAGAAGAAAGAGAAUGAUCAAUAUCCCAGUUAAACUCGACUUUCAAAGCUGAUCGCAUACGGCCUCGUUCAGGGGCCCCCUCCGCUUUAAUGAAUUUUCUUUCAUUCCACGCGAGUUUUUAAAACAUCAAAUAAUAAAUUGGCCGGGGCACAGUAAAAUAUUUAGAUCUAUUGACUGUGGUUGAAAAAUGGAGAGGGCAAAAACUCUGGUGGUUUGAUGUUGAUAUAGUCUGAGCACUUUAAUCCACCCGAGUGAUUCCUUUUAUCUGCCUGGGCUUCUCCAACAGAGAGAAAAGGGGCCUCAAGAAUAUUCUCAAACACGCAGCAACUCUUUUUUAAACCCCCCUGCUUUACCUUAGCUGCUGCACAUUCUCAAGCCGUCUUCCCGAGGAGAGUGUAUUCUUCCCAUUGUAAAGGCAGUGGCAAUGCAGAAGACAACAACUCCACAUAGCAGCAGCGAACACGAGCGAGGUGAUGAAAAUUACAUCACACGGGCAAGGGGGCUACAGAAGUUUGUUGGCCAUAGGUAUUGACAAAAAUAUCAUUACACUGCAUCUGACAUGAAACGUCCCAGAAUGGAAAAGAAGACCAGAAAGGAGAAGACACAAGAUUGUGAAGAGUGUUGGUGUGAGGUUAUCAAAGAGACUCAUAUCUUUGAAUAUUGACUGCUUGUUUUUGAAAGAGGAUGACACAUGGUACAAGCAGAAGAUGAAGAGGGCUUUUCUCUUUGUGAUUACAUUGUUGCUCGGCUCAAGGCAUGUUUGUUAAUAAUAAGCCCUUUGAAUGGUUCUGCAGUCCAAGACUUACAUGUUUGUUUUUAAGGGUAGCUGUGGUAUCUCUUCUUUUCCUUUACCAGAAACUCUUAUCUAGUGUGAUAUGGUUUGAGUUAGUUUGGGCGUCCCCAGUCAAAGUCACAUAGAGGUGAAGUGUCCGGGCCUAACCUGUCCCCUCGCGGAGCCACUCUCCCUAUCGUAGUGGUAAAUUGUGCUGUGUGUGUGUAUACUGCUGCAUGGAUACUUGUGGCUUGGCCGUGUGUGUGUGUUUGGCUGGCGUGACAGCCUGGCCUUGACGUUAAACAUCUGUUGGGUGAUUCAUUCGGCUCAGGAUGCGGAGUGACACUGAGACACAUCUGCCGUCGCUGGCGCCCCCCUCUACUCCCUCCCUCCUCUCCCAACCUGCCCCUCAUUAGUCCGGAUUGCUUCGCCACGCCACGCAAACCACUUUUCUGAUGAUGCCAUCAUUUUCCCUUCUCUCCCUCCGCGGUUAGUUCACCAAAGUGACAUCCUGCCCCCCCCCCUACCGCCCCAGAUGCAUAGCCUUGGGGAGAUUUAGAGAUGGCAAACACAAUGAAACUCAAGAACCUGGCAACCAACACCUGGUCUCUCCCAGAACUAGGUUUAUUUAGUCCUUCCUUCCCCCCAAUGCCUGGUCUCUCCCAGAACUAGGUUUAUUUAGUCCUUCCUUCCCCCCAACGCCUGGUCUCUCCCAGAACUAGGUUUAUUUAGUCCUUCCUUCCCCCCAACGCCUGGUCUCUCCCAGAACUAGGUUUAUUUAGUCCUUCCUUCCCCCCAACACAUGCUAAAUUGCAGUAAUUCAAAAUACUUUUUCUGUGAAAAGAUGAUUUAAGCCCAAUUCAUACUACACCAUGUUUAUGUUUGAUCUGAAAGACUGUUUGAAAGAUUAUGUAUUGCUUUAGUUGACACACAAGACAGAUUAAACACAUUUCUGUAGUAAAACGUGUGUCAUUCAAUAAAUAUUUAGAUUUAAGUGUGGUAUGGAGCUUUGAAAUGGUGACUUUAUUUGUUAUCUGUUAGGAAAUUCUUUAUGUAAUACUGCAUCCCAGUAAAAGCCUACAGAUAGGUACGUAGACUACAUCUAUUUGGUUUGGAAAUCAUUUCAACCCCAGUGACAGAUGCUCUUGCUCACCACUUUACAAGGCCCUGUAAUCACUUGAGUGAAUACAGCUUGACUGAUUAAGGUUUAGAGCAUUUGUCCGACUUGUUCUACACCAACCCAGAGUACAGAUGUCGGAUCGUAAUUUGAUCACCCUGCAAUGCAGGACAUUUUAAAAUGUGCUGUGUAUUUGAGGUUUAAAAAGGCUUCUGAAGUUUUUAAUUUCCACGUUGAAAUUUCAGACUUGAUUUUCCCUUACGGAAAAUGUAUCAACCCCUACAAAAAUGUCCAUGAAUUAUAAUCCACAAAAUCAUUCAAAUUUCCUGUUGCUACAGGUUUCUUUUCCUGCUGUAGUGAACUGGCUCAAAUAGAGAUCCUACAUCUGUAAUGUGUGGUGUAGUUCUGUGGCCCACAUUGUAA